rnacentral:rRNA from 1 species
GUAGGGAAUAUUGCGCAAUGGGGGAAACCCUGACGCAGCGACGCCGCGUGAGUGAUGAAGGCCUUCGGGUCGUAAAGCUCUGUUGCAGGGGAAUAAAAAAAUGAAGGUACCCUGUGAGGAAGGAUCGGCUAACUUCGUGCCAGCAGCCGCGGUAAGACGAGGGAUCCUAGCGUUGCUCGGAAUCAUUGGGCGUAAAGCGGGCGUAGGUGGCUUGGUAAGUCAGGUGUGAAAGCCCAGGGCUCAACCCUGGAAGUGCAUUUGAUACUGCUGAGCUUGAGUGUCGGAGAGGUUACCGGAAUACCUGGUGUAGUGGUGAAAUACGUAGAUAUCAGGUGGAACACCGGAGGCGAAGGCGGGUAACUGGACGAACACUGACACUGAGGCCCGAAAGCGUGGGGAUCAAACAGGAUUAGAAACCCCUGUAGUCC